UCCUUGUUAGUAUAGUGGUGAGUAUCUCUGCCUGCCACGUGGGAGACCGGGGUUCAGUCCCCCAAUGGGGAG
rfam:Mesitornis unicolor contig45600, whole genome shotgun sequence.